rnacentral:rRNA from 1 species
GCGGGGGGGGGUCUAUACAUGCAGUCGUACGCUUCUUUUUCCACCGGAGCUUGCUCCACCGGAAAAAGAAGAGUGGCGAACGGGUGAGUAACACGUGGGUAACCUGCCCAUCAGAAGGGGAUAACACUUGGAAACAGGUGCUAAUACCGUAUAACAAUCGAAACCGCAUGGUUUUGAUUUGAAAGGCGCUUUCGGGUGUCGCUGAUGGAUGGACCCGCGGUGCAUUAGCUAGUUGGUGAGGUAACGGCUCACCAAGGCCACGAUGCAUAGCCGACCUGAGAGGGUGAUCGGCCACAUUGGGACUGAGACACGGCCCAAACUCCUACGGGAGGCAGCAGUAGGGAAUCUUCGGCAAUGGACGAAAGUCUGACCGAGCAACGCCUCGUGAGUGAAGAAGGUUUUCGGAUCGUAAAACUCUGUUGUUAGAGAAGAACAAGGAUGAGAGUAACUGUUCAUCCCUUGACGGUAUCUAACCAGAAAGCCACGGCUAACUACGUGCCAGCAGCCGCGGUAAUACGUACGUGGCAAGCGUUGUCCGGAUUUAUUGGGCGUAAAGCGAGCGCACGCGGUUUCUUAAGUCUGAUGUGAAAGCCCCCGGCUCAACCGGGGAGGGUCAUUGGAAACUGGGAGACUUGAGUGCACAAGAGGAGAGUGGAAUUCCAUGUGUAGCGGUGAAAUGCGUAGAUAUAUGGAGGAACACCAGUGGCGAAGGCGGCUCUCUGGUCUGUAACUGACACUGAGGCUCUAAGCAUGCCGAGCAACAUGAUUAGUACGGGGAGUCAAAAAAAAAAGGGGGCCGAGAGC